rnacentral:rRNA from 1 species
AACGAACGCUGGCGGCAGUCUUAACACAUGCAAGUCGAGCGCCCCGCACGGGGAGCGGCAGAAGGGUGAGUAACGCGUGGGAACGUACCUUUUGGUUCGGAACAACUCCGUGAAACUGGAGCUAAUACCGGAUAAGCCCUAACGGGGAAAGAUUUAUCGCCGAAAGAUCGUCCCGCGUCUGAUUAGCUAGUUGGUGAGGUAACGGCUCACCAAGGCGACGAUCAGUAGCUGGUCUGAGAGGAUGAUCAGCCACACUGGGACUGAGACACGGCCCAGACUCCUACGGGAGGCAGCAGUGGGGAAUACUGGACAAUGGGCGCAAGACUGAUCCAGCCAUGACGCGUGAGAGAUGAAGGGCUUAGGGUUGUAAAGCUCUUUUGUCCGGGAAGAGAAUGACUGUACCGGAAGAAUAAGCCCAGGCUAACUUAGUG